UGAAUGGCCUUUUCUUUUUCCUUCGACAAUGCCUUCGCCUAGCCACAGCAGCUCCCUCAUACAGACUCCGCAAGCCAAGAGGCCGUGGAGGCAAAUGCAGACAGCCAGCACACCUCGAACAGCCACCUUGACUGCGGGUGUGUCACCCUAGUCGCCAAGGAAACAUUUGAGGGAAAGCGACAGGCAAUGUGAACAGCCACUUCUCCAUGUAAACGAUACUCUUUCUCGCGGAUGACUCCUACGUUCGCCACGCCAGCACACUUGUGCACAAAGAUGCCGCGGAGGCACGUGCAGGUCAGAGGCAAGAAGCAGUGGCACUGGUGUCGACAUUCGCCCAAUUUCUUUUUCUUGCACUGAGGCAGCCAGGACACCUCGAACAGCCACCUUAACUGCGGGUGCGUUAGUAGAUUCCUGUUGUACAUAUGCUCAUAAUAAACUCCAGUAAACUUGAACUUGAUAAUAAACUUGAAGGCAAAUGGGA
rnacentral:lncRNA from 1 species